UACAGAGGGGGCAAGCGUUGUUCGGAAUUACUGGGCGUAAAGGGCGCGUAGGCGGCCUUCUAAGUCGAACGUGAAAUCCCCGGGCUCAACCUCGGGUCUGCAGUCGAUACGAGCAAACUAGAGUGUUGCAGGGGAGACUGGAAUUCCUGGUGUAGCGGUGAAAUGCGCAGAUAUCAGGAGGAACACCGGUGGCGAAGGCGGGUCACUGGCCCGGUACUGACGCUGAGGUGCGAAAGCGUGGGUAGCAAACAGG
rnacentral:rRNA from 1 species